GUGUGAAACCUGGACAAACAAUGUGGCCUUGAGUCCACGGGUUCCAAAAUGAAUCUUGUCAUCAGGUUGAAAGAGCAGAUGAAAAGUCGCAGUGCUUUUGACAAGGUCUUUUCAAAAGUGUGGGGUGCAUCUGGGUGUUCCACCUAGUUGAGUUCACCGUCAACAAAACUGUAGCAGUGGUGCCCGAGAACUGGUACAGUGAUGGCGUGACCUGUUGGCCGAAUUAUAAAAGUGAUGCAAGCGUGAACCGGGCAAAGGAGCCGGGACCUGAAUGGGAAACGUAUGAUGUCCGAAUUCUUAAAUCAUGUGAUCAGUACUUCGAGGCAAGACAACACCUAAAUAAGUCACGUCAUGCCACACUUCCAACCUGCAGACAGAAGAAGAGGAAGAGGACAUGCGACCCAAGAGGAAGCCAAAGGCGAUUCAUUUUUGGGGGGGAUUCUGAUGACAGUGAAGACGAACAUCCAAGAAAGAAAUCCAGAAGCCAAUCCAAAACAUCAGUACAGCCACCAGCUCCUGCUGUCCCGCCACCACCAUCUCCUGCUGUUGAACCAUCACCAUGCCAACAACAAACCUUGUCUGCAAGCCAGGUGCACACACUUACUUGGCGAGGGAGAAG